rnacentral:rRNA from 1 species
AGACAGCAGCAGCCACGGUAAUACGGAGGGGGCAAGCGUUAUCCGGAAUUAUUGGGCGUAAAGGGCACGUAGGUGGCCUUUUAAGCGUAGGGUAUAAGGCAAUGGCUCAACCAUUGUUCGCCCUAUGAGCUGGAAGGCUUGAGUGCAGGAGAGGAAAGCGGAAUUCCUAGUGUAGAGGUGGAAUGCAUAGAUAUUAGGAGGAACAUCAGCGGCGAAGGCGGCUUUCUGGACUGCAACUGACACUGAGGUACGAAAGCGUGGGGAGCAAACAGGAUUAGAUACCCCCGUAGUCCCUGUCUCUUAUACA